AAUGCUGCAUGACAGGAAACCAGGCCGACUGAGCUGAGAUAUUGUGUAACAAACAAGACAGAAACUAAGGGUUAACAGUGCCAUGGUACUGGGUUGUCUUUCUUGUCUGCGUUUCACACACCUGUAGUGACAGUUCGUUGAACACUGUCCACUCCACUGAGGCUUACACCCAUUUUCAUGUGGCAGAGAUAAAUAAUAAGGCUGGACAUGGAUCAGUAUUGUUUUGCCAUUAUGUCAAGAGCAGAAACUGUCUUGCCUUUGUCACACACUUGAAUGUAAACCAGACAUGCUAAUGUGCUUCAUCAUUUGAUGCAAUGAUUUAUGUGAGUGACCUUGAAUUUUCACUCUUAAGGAUGCAUAGAUGGGGAAUGGAGAAAAAAAAUAAAAUUAAUAUAAAAUGUAAUAAUUUUUAGGGGAGGUAAAUUAUCAUCUCUGUUGUCAGGAAACAUAGGUCAACGAAGUUGCAACAUGUAGAGUGAUUCACUUCCUGUACUUCCUGUGGUUUUCAACUGGUUUUCCUUUUGCUUCAUUUUACAUUGGACAUCAAGUGGUGACCCAACACAGUAAAAAACAUAACCUGUAUUUAAUGUAACAUUUAUCUUAUAUUCUUCAAGCUUUAUUAGGUAAGCGAGGCAGAAGUGGCAUAGAUAAUAGACCAAGCACCUGUGGAGGCAGUGCCACGGUAGGGUCAGCAUGUCGAGAAGACGCUGUUUUCUUCACUGCGAAAGCAAGACCUCUAUGUUUGACUUCCAAAGGCAGAUGAAUUGAAGAAUCAGUGGUUCAAAUGUAUUUUUACCACUAUUCCUCAGCAGUACAACCACAACCAAUGCCGGAUUGUCAAGACGGUUACUCCUGAAAGAUGGUGCAGUUCCCACUUUAUUGGGACAAUCUGGUGCUUCAGGAUCACAACCUGCAAGUAAUUUGAAUUUGUUUGCAUCAAGAUGGAUGCCCAAAAACGCAAUGGAUGUCAAAGGACUCAUGGUUUUCUCUUUAGAGAUGGAGACUAGUAAAUCAGAGAAGACUUUCUAGAUGAUGCAUAGGUGAGCAGCUGGAGGUGCAUUGUGUGGCGAAACAAUGAGGACAUCAUCAAGCAGGUGGACAAGUUCCCGCCUCCUCCUUGUCCAUCCUGAAUCCCAUUACACUGGUGCCGAAACCCGGGAAGGAGGCGCUGUCGUGGAGUCCUCACCACUGCCGUCUGCCGGGAAGCGGAGUAGCCGCGGCUGUCCGCCGGGAGUCGGAGGAACCGCUGCGGUCCACCAGGAAGCGGAGGAGCUGUUAUCAUCUGCCAGGGGUUGGAGGACUCUCUACCGUCCACCAGAGGGCGGAGGAGUGGCUGAGGUCCAGGCGACGGCAUGUCCGGGGACCGGCGAGCGAGGUUUUCUCUCUCUCUCUCCUCUCUCACUGUCUCUCCCCCUCGCUCUUUCCCUCUCCCCUCUCCCUCCCCUCAUCUCUCCCAGGGCUCCAAAGAGGUGAGGAAGAACUGCCGGCAGAAAGACGGAUGGAAGGGCAACACCUCCCCUCCAGGAAGGGAGGGGAGUAUGUCAAGCCAGAGGUUUCCCCGGCCUGAAUUGGGCGGUGAAGGAGUGUGACGAGGAGGAGGGCGUGGCCGGGCCGUGAGGAUGCACGCCCAGCGCUGAAUUGUCCUAAUCAGCCGGGAGGGGUAUAAAGACGAGCCGGGUUAGAGAGAGAGAGAGGCACACGUGGCCGCUGUGUGUAUGUGUAUGUGUGUUUAUGUUUGUUUAAGAUGAUUUAUGUCAUUAAAGUUAUGUUGACUGUUCUGCCGGUUCCCGCCUCCUCCUUGCCCAUUCUGAAACCCGUUACACUCCUCUUAUAAUACAGUAAAAAAGAAUAUUUAGUGUGAAACACAUUGAAGAUUAGCGGACAGAGUGAUGAGCUGUUCCCUCACAAAAGCAGUUUAUUAGUCUAUUAACAUCCAUUCAAAAGGAAUGGCCUCUGAUCUCUUCACCAGUGUACCGCUGCGUACCACCACUAACCUUGAAUGCUCCCCCUUGAUAAAGGGGUUCUCGGUUAAGAGCGAUCUGCUACGAUGUCACAAUCGAGUUGCAUUCUGGGAGAUGGGGCUGCCUGAAGCAUACAUAUGUGUAGGGUCUCUCACUCAGUCAAAAUUGAGAGGUUGAGGGUCUGUCAGAAGAAAUUUCCCUCAGCCACUUAACAAAGUGGAACGGACUUCCAAAAUGGCAGCAAGGAUUCCCCUGAGAGGAAGUGUUUAGGAAAGUUAGCGAGUGUAUGUUUAAAGUGAAGUGGAACGCAGCCCACAUCAUUGGUGCAAGUGAUUCCGUGAUGGCUCACGCCACACUUGCACGAAAAACCAGGUUUUAAUCGCAUCACGGUUUCAGAAGAGAAGCAUAUUUAGCACAUUUAAAGUGCCAAACGCGAGUUGGAUAUAAUUACAUUUGUCUUGAAUGCUCCGAAAUUGAGCCGUGGAAAAUUGGAAUGGAGAAAGAACCCUGGCAUUGUUCUUUCCUUGCUGUUUCUUGCAAUUUAAUGUUGCAACCCACCAGUUGAGAAACACUGCUGUAGACAGAUCCUGAUUAACUGUCUCUCUGACCGUAACUGCUCUAAGCUGCUCUAACCUCUUAGCUGCUGUGCAAACAGAGAUAUUGGCAU